CCUACGGGGGGCAGCAGUGGGGAAUAUUGCACAAUGGGGGAAACCCUGAUGCAGCGACGCCGCGUGAGUGAAGAAGUAAUUCGUUAUGUAAAGCUCUAUCAGCAGGGAAGAAAAUGACGGUACCUGAGUAAGAAGCCCCGGCUAACUACGUGCCAGCAGCCGCGGUAAUACGUAGGGGGCAAGCGUUAUCCGGAUUUACUGGGUGUAAAGGGAGCGUAGACGGCAGUGCAAGUCUGGAGUGAAAGGCGGGGGCUCAACCCCCGGACUGCUCUGGAAACUGUACGGCUGGAGUGCAGGAGAGGUAAGUGGAAUUCCUAGUGUAGCGGUGAAAUGCAUAGAUAUUAGGAGGAACACCAGUGGCGAAGGCGACUUGCUGGACUGAAACUGACGCUGAGGCUCGAAAGCGUGGGGAGCAAACAGGAUUAGAUACCCUAGUAGUC
rnacentral:rRNA from 1 species